UUUAAAUGUAAAAUAAAUAUACUAAAUUAGUAUUAGUUAUGUUCUUGAAAUUUAAAGAUUUUGGCGGUAUUUUAGUCUAUUUAGAGGAGCCUGUUCUAUAAUUGAUAAUCCACGAUUAAUUUUACUUAAUUUAAAUAAAUUUGUAUACCGUCGUUAUAAGAAGAUUUUAAAAGAAUAUAAAUUUUUAAUAUUUUAUAUAAAAAAAUAUAUCAGAUCAAGGUGCAGUUCAUAGUUAAGUAGAAAUGGGCUACAAUAAAUUUAUUUAUACGGAUUAGAGAGAGAAUAUAUUUCUAUGAAGGUGGAUUUAAUAGUAAUAAAAUUAAUUUAAAUUUUAUGAUUUUAGCUCUAAAAUAUG
rnacentral:rRNA from 1 species